UGAAUUGUGUGCGGCUGCUGGUUCACAGCUUACAGUCACAAUGAAUGGCUGCCUGUAGCGAGGCGGAGGGAGACACUAGACCGCUUAUUCUGCGCUGGCCCUCCAUUGAAACACUUUCCAGCGGAAUACAGCCGAGGGGACCCUGUGGUGCUGGGCAGAGCGUUAUGGCUCAGACGCUGCAGAUGGCGAUCCCUAACUUUGGCAACAACAUCCUGGAGUGUCUGAACGAACAGCGGCUGCAGGGCCUCUACUGUGAUGUCUCCGUGGUCGUCAAGGGACAUGCCUUCAAGGCCCACCGUGCGGUGCUGGCAGCCAGCAGCUCCUACUUCCGGGAUCUGUUCAAUGCCGGAGGGAAGAGCUCGGUGGUGGAGCUGCCCCCGGCCGUGCAGCCGCAGAGCUUCCAGCAGAUCCUGGCCUUCUGCUACACAGGACGCCUCAGCAUGAACGUUGGAGACCAGUUCCUCCUCAUGUACACCGCUGGCUUCCUCCAGAUCCAACAGAUCAUGGAGAAAGGCACAGAGUUUUUCCUCAAGGUCUCAUCUCCAAGCUGUGACUCCCAGGGUCUCCAUACUGAGGAGACCCCGCCCUCCGAGCCUCAGAGCCCCGUCACUCAAACAAUGGGAGGUGGGGGAGUCGGCGUCGUUGCCCCAGCCGCGGGGAGGCCCGCCUCUUGCCUGACGCCCCUCCCACUGGUGUCCAAGGUGAAGACAGAACAGACGGCCUCCACACCUCAGCCCACCCCACAGCCGCAGCAGCAGGAGGGCUCUCCCUACUCGGUGGUCUGCACCCCCGUGGCCAAGCGGCUGUGGGAAGGGGGCAACCGUGACAGCGGAGGUGGUUCCGGAGGGGGUGGGGGCGGUGGGAUGAGGAAGGCUGCACGCUACUCUUCCUCCUCCUCUUCGUCCUCUUCCUCCAACAACGCCACCCAGGAUGCCUCUGGGCGUGGACCUGCAGCCAAUGCUGCCAUGGUGGGCAGCGGCAGCGGUGCCAGCGUUCCCACUUCAAUGGGAGGAGCUGGACUCAACAGUAACCACAACAACAACAACAACAACGGCGGCACCCCCGAAGGCACCAGCCCGGGCACACUGAGCAUGUACACCAGCGACUCCCCAAUCAGUUACCACGACGACGAGGAAGAGGACGACGUGGCGGACGAGAGCGCCGAAGAGCAGUACAGACAGAUCUGCAACAUGUACACCAUGUACAGCAUGCUGAACGCUGGAGCGGCAGUGGUCGGGGAGCGGGUGGAGGCUCUUCCUGACUUGGCUCCAGACUCAGGCGGCGGGCGAGGCGGCAGGGGGGCGCGGUCCAGGCAGGACUUGGCGUCACUGCCCGCCGAGCUCAUCAGCCAGAUCGGGAACCGCUGCCACCCGAAGAUGUACGAGGAGGGCGACCCGGCCGAGAAGCUGGAGCUGGUGAGCGGCACCUCCGUGUACAUCUCCCGCGCCCAGCUCAUGAACUGCCACGUCAGUGCCGGCACCCGCCACAAAGUGCUGCUCAGACGCCUGCUGGCCGCGUUUUUCGACAGGAGCACUCUGGCUAACAGCUGUGGAACUGGCAUCCGCUCUUCAACCAACGACCCCAGUCGUAAACCCCUGGACAACAGAGUGCUGCAUGCUGUCAAAUUUUACUGCCAGAACUUUGCGCCGAGCUUCAAGGAGAGUGAGAUGAACGCCAUCGCAGCCGACAUGUGCACCAACGCGCGCCGCGUCGUCCGCAAGAGCUGGAUCCCCAAGCUCAAACUGCUGAUGGCCGACAGCGACGCCUACUCCGCCUUCCUGGCCGACAGCGUGAAGAUGGAGGCCGACGCGCUGGGGGCGGAGCAAGGCUUCGACCCCGCCUCCCUGGAAGCGGUGGCGGCGGCAGCAGCCGCGGCCGCCAACCACAAUGAAGCGGGAGGUGGAGCCACGCAACCAGACGCCCUCCAGGGGGCGGGAGGAGACGGCAGCACUUUGUUUUGAGUGAGUGAACGGACAGAUAGAUGAGUGGACAGAUGGACAGAUUUGAUGGAGGGAGGGAUGGCAUUUCUCUGGGGGCGAUGAGUAGAGAACGGUGGCCGCUUUGGUCGUGAUGACAGUUGUCACUCCUCCCCUCGCCGCCGUGUGUUUGGGGGGUCUGUUUCUUCUUUUACACCUCUUCUGGUCAGUUUGUUCUGCUUUCCCUCCUUCGUUUGUCCACGUUUCUGUCUCUCUCGACGGCCCAGAAUGCCUCACUUUGGGUUGUUCCUCCUUCCUUUUCUGGUGGAGAGAGAUGGAAAGAUGGAGAGAAAGGUAGCAGAGGGAGGAGGUCAUACCCCCCCACACACACCUCCUCACUCCUCUGCAACCUUUCAGAAACUGAUUGUUUCAGCCUUUAUUUUUUAUGUUUUCUAAAGUGUGUACUGUCACUAAGGCCCGUUUCUUACCAUAAUCAAUCACAGACAUUCCCUGGGGGGUGGGGGGUGGGGGGGUAAUCCUGUUUGGAGAACGUGAUAUUUCCUUCCCCAAACUCCGGUAACACUGUUGUUUUUGAUAUUGAAUGUAUGCGUGGUGAAGCAUCCGAACCGCAGCGUUGUAAGUCAGUGGAGGUCGAGUGAGUUUGUACAGAGCCCUUUUUUUUUUUUUUUUUUUUUUUUUUUAUUUGUCUGUUUUUGCUUUAUUUCAUCUGGACGCCAGAUGAAAGCUUCUCGGAGAGCGUGGGAUUGAUGAGGUCAGGGGUUGAAAUGAAUAUUAAUAUGUAUAUUGGCAUGGUUUAUGAUCUCCCCGACCUCCGCCCGACCCCACAAACCCUGCUCUUCAACCCCAGCCGAGCAUGCUGGGAAACUGACCUGCCAGCCUUUUAGAGAGCUGCUGGGGAGUUCUGACUGACAGUGUGGCGGGAGACGGGAAAAAACUAAUAUUUGAUUGACUAAAAACUUUUUCGCCUGAACUUCCCCUUGUUUUUUGACCCGUAGACUACAUCCACAAUAAUAUGCUUUUGUGUUAAAACACAUGACUGUUGCUACGUUUACACCUGGCGUCCACACUACUCUUUGGCUUCCCUAAAACGGAGAGCUUUGAAAACACUGCUGACCCCGUUAACGUUUGAAAACCCCGGGGUUGGGUUGUAGUCUUGACAUGAGGAAACUGAGAUAAGAUUGGGUCUUAUCGGUCACAAGGUGUCAAUCCAAAAAUUUAUAGCUAAUUCUACAUACUUUUGUGAUUUCAUCCUUCAUGUGUGGGUAACGUUGCUCUUUUGCCGUUGUCAGGCAUCCUCCAGCGAUGGAUAAUGCUCCUGGUACCGCCAUAUUUGCUUCACAGCACUUCCCAAUCUGUUUUCUACCGCCUUGACAGCCUUAUACUCACGUUAUUUUCAGUAACAGUUCCACCUGGUUGUCGAUCCAAGCAAAGAAAUGGCUCGACAACCAGGUUGCCAUCUCCAUAUUAUUUACUGUAACUAAGCAACCAGCUGUACACAAUCUGCUUCCUGUUUACAUUGGCACACACUUGCCAAGUGUACGUAAAUAGUCCUGUGAUUCGCGUUUCCAGGCGUGAUAGUAUGAGGGGAGAUUAUUUCUAAAAUGGUGCUAAAACCCUUGUGAGUACAGAGAUCUUUUUCAUUUUAAAAAGCUGUUUUAAAUUAAAAACGUAUUAGUGUGGAUGUGGCCUUAUGAAAAGACAAUUUUAGUUUUCUUAUUUUUGUGUUUAAAUUCUUAAUUUUUCCUUUUAUGUGUGUGAUUUUUGCCGAGCCUCCCGAGGGAGAGGAAACUUGUUACCGAUGAUUGUCAAAGAGUUUGCGCGUGAUAAAUGCACUGUGUUAUUUCCUGCGGUAUGAUUACAAUCGAACUACGUUUUUGUACGUAUCAGAGAGAGACGAGAGGCAGUUUUAUUUAAAAAAGCAACAAAAAAAGAGAAAAAAUAGAAGCUAAAAUCCAAUUUAUAUCUCUGGUUAUCACCCUUUUUUUUUUUUUUUUAGAAAAAAACGUCUGAAGGAAAGUCAAGAAAUAUCCAAAAGCGAGUUUCUGCCCGUGAGCUUAGGAACGUGUCGUGUGUGUGUGUGUGUUUGUGGAGUGUGUGUGAGGAUUCAGCAGCAAUGUUCUUUUGUUUUCAGCUCGUGUUUAAAUUGUUUUCCCUCCAAAUAUUCGCAGCCAUGCCAGUUAACAGAACAAGUUUCCUCGGGCUCUGCUGCCUGGAUGCGUGCUCGCCUGGCAUGGACAAAGGUGCUAAUUCAGGCAUUGGUACAUUGCAAGGAAUACAGCUCCGUGUGUGUAAUGUGUAGGUGUGUGUUUGAGCGGCCACGCUGUUUUGUGUGUGUGUGCUGCAGCAGAGAGAGAGAGAGAGAGGCCAGACGGUGUGUUUUCACACACGCUUGGUCGAUUCAUUCACCCAUCACUGCGGUGAGCACACACACUCACACACACGCAGGCUAAUACGCAUUUGGGCGCUGUCAGCCGCAUCAGCUACAGUACACCAGAGCAGCAUGGGAAUUAAAGGAGAAUUACACUGAAGCAGAGCUGAGAGGCUGUUUGUUGUUUGUCACAUGUGAGCAUUCACCUUAAAUUUAUUUUAAUGAGGCCGCAUCAUGGGAAAGGUAAACUGUCGCUGCGCUGGCGGAAAGUUUUGUUGUCGCUUUGACAGUUAAUUUCUCAGCUUUAUGUCAUGUGCGAUACUCUGCAUUAUAAACAGAAAGCUGCUAAAUAAUGGAAAUCACAGAAGAAUGUCGGCAUAGAAACAACCCUGAAAGCGAAUAUUGCAGUCAUAUGCGCCUUUGAUACUUAAGUGGCUGAAUGGUAGCUUUCAGAAACUAUAACAAGAAUACAGAGCGAGAUCUUUUCGCUUUAGAAAAAUUGACCUCCAAAUUCCACAAUGCAGCUGAAUACAGUCAUCAGCUAAACCCUGAAGAGGGCUUUUUGCUCUUGUUCAGUCUGAAGUUGAAUACAGGGGCUCCAGGUGAAGUUUUUUAUUUAGUGCCACUAAUAUUUUGCUCCUCGGCACCAUUGUGGUGUUUUAAAUGGAUAGUCAGAACCUUGUUACACCAGAUUACAGUCUCAGUUUUGACCCCAGUUUCAAGCUUUUAAUCAUAAAAUCUCUCUCAGACAAUCAAUGUAAAGGCGCUCUUUCUUCUGGCAGACCUGACAUAUCUGUCUGUUUGGCACUGUGCAAUAAAAGCAGCAGUGUGAAUAGUAGGGAAGCAAAGCUAACCAGCUGUAAGUGCAUGUACUGUGUUGUGUGUGUUGAGCAGAUUACUGUGUGCUAGAGGUGCACGGAAAUCACAGCUCAGUUCACACGCCUGUUUAGGAGUCACGGUUCGGUGCGAGUUCAGUACAGUGGAAAGAAACAAAUGUGUAAAGAUCCAUUUCUCUUCAUUUAUGUUAAUCAGACAGUAUUGGACGUGUCAGAAAGACAAACUCCUCUUGCUGGGGACCGGAGUAACAUUUUGCCCGUCUGCAACAUCACUCAACUGUUUUCACCAUAAAGAUUUUCAUACACUUAUGUGUUACACUUUACGGACACUUUCCCAAAAGGCAGCAGGUCUCAAGAGGCUAUAAAACUGAAAGCAUCUCUUAUGAUGUGAAAUUGAAAAUACAAAAUAAAUAGAAUAAUAAAAAUAAAACUUGUGCAUUAGGAGGAGUGUAACAGUUAUUUCUAUCUGGGCUGUCGGCCAAUCUAAAUGCCAACUGCUCCAGUAAUUGUUUUAUCCUGUUCUGCUUUUGCAUCUUAAGGAGCUGGAGUUAUGGCUUGUUUUUUCACAUCUGUUACCCCUUUUCCACCAAAUUAGCUCUGGUUCUUGAACUGGUCCUGAUCAGGACUCUCAGAGCCUUGGUGCUGUCUAGUGACCCAGCCUGCGCUUCCCCCAUUUUUGAAUGAAACCAUUGUAAUCAAGCGUCAUCAGCAGAGGGCGUUCCACAAUGCACAGUUGGAGUAAACAGUAGUAGCAAGAUGGCAGAUCUCACUGAUCACCUGUGAGCUUUCGUUCCGUUAUUACAGCCAUUUGUUUUUGUCCAAAAAUAAGCAUGGACCAACUAUUAAUGACAAGAAUACAUAGAAGACUAGAACGUUCAAGACUCCAUCUCGUCUUUCCAACCUGUAGAAUAUGACACGCCGAUUAAUAAACGAUUAGAAAACCAACUUUUCGGGUCCUGAGCCAAUUUAUUUUUGGUUAAAAAGCUCAGAACGCUUCACUAAUAGGCGCACAAACUAGAACGGCACCCAUUCCAUGUUGGUGAUGCUGUCGAAUUAGCGCUACAUGUAGCAUGUUGGACGUGUGGAGCAACUGCAACACAUCAUCCUUGUCUUAUACACAACUCCCUCUCCGUUGCUGUUGUAGCUGCACGGGAACCCACAAGCCGGUCUUCAAGCUCCAACGUUUUAUUUGCGCUCGCCAAAGUGUGACUGAUUCACACUCCAGUCCUCUUGUUUCGCUAAUCUCAGCACAAGUUGCCACCUGCGUACAGCUUAAAGUUAUAGGAUGAAACUCCUGCUCAUGAAGUGUGUUUCAGCUUUAUGUGCAUUAAUUGACAUUGUGUUAUCCGUGUGCGUCUGUAGGAACUGAACCAUGACUUCUGUACCGUGAUGGUUUGGCACGAAUACACAAACCAUUACAGCCAUUACUAUGUGCAGUGCAUUCGUUAUCUUAGAAUAUAUCUUAGAAUUUAACACAGAGAGUAGGGUAAAACUUUCUCCGUGUAUCCCACAUAAUUGGUGGCAGAUUCAAACAAAUUUCAAAUCCUUUUUUUAGGUGUCGGGGCUGCAUUAGACUGCUUUGUGUUAAUUACAUCCAGGCCACAAAAGGCAAUUUAUUUCCUCACAACAAAGUGAAAUAACUUCCUGUUUGUGUGCACUUGUUCUGUCAAAGUGUGGACAAGUUGAGACUGAGACCAGAGCAGAUGAUGACCAUUGUGAAAUCUCCUAACUUGUCAGAUCAGGUCCCUCCUGCAUGAGGGAUUAUCUAAUUAUCUCUCUAAUUUUAUAAUGCUGGAACUCAAUUUUAUGUGCUCAGCAGGUCUUUAAAUAUAUUACUGAUGGUGCUGAGUCACUAUUGGCUACGUCACAGCAACAGAUAAGUUAGUUUCUCAUAGUAAUCCAGCGUAAUUUAAAUGACCAUAAAUUAAGAAGCUCUGUUUCCGUUUAAGCAAGUAUAUUAAAAAUGGAUUUAUCUCCCAAAGGUCUUUUAUUAAAUGCUGUUUUUUUUGUGUGAUGGAAACACAGAAAAUAUGAAGUGGCACGAGAUGACAGAGAAAGUUUCGCUCUGGAGCCCCGAGUGUGACAGCAUCUUGGCAAAAAUGAUGAGAUUGGAAACAGAUUUAGUUCCUGUGAAGGUCGUGAGUGAUGCUUUAAAGUUUGGAAAAAGUGAUUUGUUUACAAGUUUGGAGACAUUUUGGAAUUUACAAAAAGCAGACCCGUAUCCUGCGUCGCGGUACUGUCGUGUUAUUGUGAAGACUGGCCUUCGGAUGUGGACGCCAGUAACCAGAGGCGGGCUGGUUUGGUUUGUUGUCCUGAAGUUUGUCUGUCAGAUUCGGUGGAUUAGACAACACCUGUGAUAACUGGUGGUCACAUGAAGUGUGUUUCGGUCUGCAGAUAUUCCCAUAUUACUUUUGAAAUGAAGUGUGACGUUUGGACUGUAGGGGGCAGCAGAAUGCCUUGAGUGUCAGAGAUGUCAUCAUCAUAGUUAAAAAGGGAACGCGUUGUUUAAUUUGAAAGAUAAUCCAUAUCAAUCCCCCUGCGUUUUUUAUAUCUACCAUUUCCUGUGUUUUUUCUAAAUCUGCAUAUCUGCCAGGAUUGGUGAACCAAACUUAUCGGUACAUUGGAUUGCUAUGAAACUCCCAACGCGAACAUAUCGUAUCAGAAAUGUUAUUUAAGCAUGAUAAUCUUGACUUGGCAUAUUAUAGAUUUGUGUAGUUGUAAAUUAGACACUGACAAAUUAAUUUUUUCUUCAUAUUUGGCCUGUUUUGGUGUUUUUUCCUUUUUAAAUGAGAAGAAACCAGAAGCACCUUAUUACCAGCGCCGCAUCAGAAAUGCUGUGGUGAACUGUUUCUUGUCACUGUCACAGGUUUAUAUUGAUGUUUGGACUGCUCCACACACACACACACACACACAGUGCAUACCCUCAAGGUGAAGGGUCUGUCAUUAACCCGUCUCUUAAGGGAAACACAGAAACGGUGCUGCACGAAAACGUUAAAACACCCCAGAAAAAUAACCAAAAACAGCCCGAGAGGCGUCGUCUAACCCGUCUUUGGACUGAACCAGUUUUGUAGACCAGUGUUAUAAAAAUAAUGUCUGCUUUUUACAGCCUGGCUUUUGAGGAAAGAUGUUUACAUGACUAUUUGUUCUUUUUUAUAUAUUUACAUGUAUAUCAAGUUUUUUAUUAUUUCUUUAAAAAAGAAAAGAAAAAAAAAGGCUAUCAGUCAAAGAAGCCUCGGUCCUGAGACGAGCACCUAAAGGUCCUGCAGUGAGGAGGUGGAAGGUAACCCCACCUUGCCCCACCCUCUAUUCUGGAGCACAUGGUACGAUCUGUGGAGACUUAACCAAGUUCAAUACCUGAGGACAAAGGCAAGAAGAAGAAUGAGAGAGAGAAAGAAGGAAAGAAGGAGAGAAAUUUGGGGAGGGGUAGGGAGGAGGAGGGGAGACAGUUUGCACAUUUCUGUUGUGUUUUCCUUUUUUUUUUUUAAAAAUCCUUUUAUUCCGAUGCUUUGUUUAAAACCGCCGCCUUAAAUGAGAAAAAAAUGAGAGAUUGAGACAGAGAGGGAAGAAGAGGACAGAGUGAGCCUCCCUGGAGAGGAGGGACGAA